rnacentral:rRNA from 1 species
ACAGGUGCUGCAUGGCUGUCGUCAGCUCGUGUCGUGAGAUGUUGGGUUAAGUCCCGCAACGAGCGCAACCCUCGCCUUUAGUUGCCAGCACGUUUGGGUGGGNACUCUAGAGGAACUGCCGGUGACAAGCCGGAGGAAGGUGGGNAUGACGUCAAGUCCUCAUGGCCCUUAUGUCCUGGGCUACACACGUGCUACAAUGGCGGUGACAGUGGGAAGCCAAGCAGCGAUGCUNAGCUNAUCCUGAAAAGCCGUCUCAGUUCGGAUUGCACUCUGCAACUCGGGUGCAUGAAGGUGGAAUCGCUAGUAAUCGCGGAUCAGCAUGCCGCNGUNAAUACNUUC